UACGGAGGGUGCGAGCGUUAAUCGGAAUUACUGGGCGUAAAGCGCACGUAGGCGGUCGGAUAAGUCGGAUGUGAAAGCCCUGGGCUUAACCUGGGAACUGCAUUCGAUACUGUCUGGCUAGAGUAUGGGAGAGGGAAGCAGAAUUUCCGGUGUAGCGGUGAAAUGCGUAGAUAUCGGAAGGAAUACCAAUGGCGAAGGCAGCUUCCUGGCCCAAUACUGACGCUCAGGUGCGAAAGCGUGGGGAUCAAACAGG
rnacentral:rRNA from 1 species